rnacentral:rRNA from 1 species
UACGUAGGGGGCAAGCGUUAUCCAGAUUUACUGGGUGUAAAGGGAGCGUAGACGGAAAAGCAAGUCUGAAGUGAAAUCCCUGGGCUCAACCCGGGAACUGCUUUGGAAACUGUUUUUCUUGGGUGUCGGAGAGGUAAGCGGAAUUCCUGGUGUAGUAGUGAAAUGCGUAGGUAUCAGGAAGAACACCGGAGGCGAAGGCGGCUUACUGGACGAUAACUGACGUUGAGGCUCGAAAGCGUGGGGAGCAAAC